UCCAUUUCAAAUCAACUAUGAAUUCAAUUCAAUCUCAAAGUACAAAAGUACAAAAGUACUCACCUCAAAUGCUUACCAUGCAUUACAAUGCAAUAUGUAAUAGUUUAUAACUUAAUUCGAAUUAUAGAAACACAAACCGUAUGUUCCGAACUACUCGACGUCGACCUUGUCUUUCCCCUUCUUACUCGAGGAUUCCGGAACGACGUUUGCUACGGAAUAAAAUAAUUAAAAUAAAUUAAUAUACCACUCAACUCACAAGAAUUUCAAUUUUUCUACUAUAUUUUACUUAAGCCUCAAUUUAGUCCUUAAACUGAGACUAAUUUUAAUAUCCAUAUUUAACCUCAAAUUUUUAUAUUAAUUUAACUCUAAACUAAAUUUAGCUCCUUAUUUUCCAAUUCUACCCCUUAAUUUUGAAUUUUUCUCAAUUUAGUCCCUAUUACUCAAAAUCAAUAAUUAACUUCACUAUUUAGUCUUUUUC
rnacentral:lncRNA from 1 species